AUGUGCUUCAGCGAGAGUGAAAGAAUAGCCUCCGCUUCCCUCGUACCUUCCAUAUGUCCGGCUGCGCCGCUCAUCCGAGUGUCCUCCGCUUCCGCAAAGCACAUAUCAAGGUUGGUUUUGGGGGCGGGGGACGAUGGUGGCAUGCGAAGAGGGCAAGAUGCUGGGCGUGUAUGCAGGCAACGCGUCGGUGGUGGUGGUGGCCUUCGUGGGAUCCAAGCGGCGGUGGCCUCCCAUAGUCUACUUUUCUUCGUUGUCGGCGGCCGCUGCGGACGUGCUGGGCGCCUCAUUGAUCUUCACGAAACCGACUUCUUUCUCCCCGCUCAAGGGUGCGGUUCCGCGAACGUUGAUGGCGAAUGGCGCGCGACGAGCAGUACGACACAACCUUGUCCAUGGCGGUCGUGCUCCUGCGCUGUGAUUACCAUUUUUGCAACUGUGAUGACUGCUUUCAUCUAUAAAAGGAGGGUCAGGCCAACCUUCACAAGGGUCGAAAACCCUGUCCAUCUGCAGUAG
rnacentral:rRNA from 1 species